UGGGAAUUUGGACGAAUGGGCGAAAGCCUGAUCCAGCAAUGCCGCGUGUGUGAAGAAGGCCUUCGGGUUGUAAAGCACUUUUGUCCGGAAAGAAAUCCUUGGCUCUAAUACAGUCGGGGGAUGACGGUACCGGAAGAAUAAGCACCGGCUAACUACGUGCCAGCAGCCGCGGUAAUACGUAGGGUGCAAGCGUUAAUCGGAAUUACUGGGCGUAAAGCGUGCGCAGGCGGUUUGCUAAGACCGAUGUGAAAUCCCCGGGCUCAACCUGGGAACUGCAUUGGUGACUGGCAGGCUAGAGUAUGGCAGAGGGGGGUAGAAUUCCACGUGUAGCAGUGAAAUGCGUAGAGAUGUGGAGGAAUACCGAUGGCGAAGGCAGCCCCCUGGGCCAAUACUGACGCUCAUGCACGAAAGCGUGGGGAGCAAAACAGGAUUAGAUACCCCUGGUAGUCCACGCCCUAAACGAUGUCAACUAGUUGUUGGGGAUUCAUUUCCUUAGUAACGUAGCUAACGCGUGAAGUUGACCGCCUGGGGAGUACGGUCGCAAGAUUAAAACUUAAAUGAAUUGACGGGGUCAUAGCUGUUUCCU
rnacentral:rRNA from 1 species